GUUACUCCAAUAGCUCAUUCUAUUCUGUAUUUCAGUAAGUUGUGCUUGCAACAACCUAACUUGAUCACUCAACUCCUGCCCGUAACGCAUUAACCACAAAACAAAUUAUUGAUAUGGAUAGUAACAUAAGAAUCCAAAAUCUUUAAGAACAUAAGAAUGUCUGUAAUCAUUUCAUACCUCAACUGUCUGAGUUCUGGAAAAAGAAAAAGGAAGUUCAGAUCCUUCUUAAGUCAUCUUCAACCAAAAAUCCAUUAACUUGACCAAAACAAUCACAUACCUUGCACCCAAAAAGUCUGGUACAUUUACAUCGUGGUCCAACUUCUUGAAGGUUUUCCUCAAUGCUUCAAGGCUCUCCAAUUUCCUGUUCCAAUUAAAUGGAGACUCUUAGCUGUAUUACCACAAAAAUUCAACCAAACUGCUAACAGCUAACUGGGGAAAAAAAUUCAAAAUUUCCUUUUUGAGUCUCGCACCUUUUUGCCCUUUCCUAUGCUCUCCUUGAAAUAAUGUA
rnacentral:misc_RNA from 1 species